UGGGGAAUAUUGCACAAUGGGCGAAAGCCUGAUGCAGCAACGCCGCGCGAGUGAUGAAGGUCUUCGGAUUGUAAAGCUCUGUCUUUUGGGACGAUAAUGACGGUACCAAAGGAGGAAGCCACGGCUAACUACGUGCCAGCAGCCGCGGUAAUACGUAGGUGGCGAGCGUUGUCCGGAUUUACUGGGCGUAAAGGGUGCGUAGGCGGAUGUUUAAGUGAGAUGUGAAAUACCCGGGCUUAACUUGGGUGCUGCAUUUCAAACUGGAUAUCUAGAGUGCAGGAGAGGAGAAUGGAAUUCCUAGUGUAGCGGUGAAAUGCGUAGAGAUUAGGAAGAACACCAGUGGCGAAGGCGAUUCUCUGGACUGUAACUGACGCUGAGGCACGAAAGCGUGGGUAGCAAACAGGAUUAGAUACCCUGGUAGUCCACGCCGUAAACGAUGAGUACUAGGUGUAGGAGGUAUCGACCCCUUCUGUGCCGCAGUAAACACAUUAAGUACUCCGCCUGGGAAGUACGAUCGCAAGAUUAAAACUCUAAAGUGAAUUGACGGGGUC
rnacentral:rRNA from 1 species